rnacentral:rRNA from 1 species
UACAGAGGUCUCAAGCGUUGUUCGGAUUCAUUGGGCGUAAAGGGUGCGUAGGCGGCGCGGUGAGUCGGGUGUGAAAUCUCGGAGCUUAACUCCGAAACUGCAUUCGAUACUGCCGUGCUUGAGGACUGGAGAGGAGACUGGAAUUUACGGUGUAGCGGUGAAAUGCGUAGAUAUUGUAAGGAAGACCAGUGGCGAAGGCGGGUCUCUGGACAGUUCCUGACGCUGAGGCACGAAGGUCAGGGGAGCAAACGGG